ACUUACCAGGUCAAGACAUGGGCGUGAUUGACAGGCUAAUGACUUUUCUCGAUUCCAUGGAUGGUGGUGCAUGGUCGCACUUAGUUGGUGCAGCGAUUCGUCAGGUUUAUUCCGGUAACGAACGAGACCUCGGCCUUGUAAAUAGCUAUGCUGCUUACAGGGACAUUGGCGGCUACGCCAAGGAAGCUCGAGGCAAUUGCAGAUCUGGAAUGCCCUUAGAUGUCCUGGGUCGCACGCGUGCUACAAUGACGCCACGAACGAGCUUGCGUGAUGAAAGUUACGCAUAAUCAGCAGUCGGCGUCUUAAGGGAUAGUCUCUUGUAACUGUGGGACUCCAACUAGGAAUGUCUCGUAAGCACAAGUCAACAUCUUGUGUUGAUUACGUCCCUGCUCUUUGUACACACCGCCCGUCGCUCCUACCGAUCGAGUGUUUAGGUGAAUUUGAUGGACGUAAGGAAGUCAAAUAAACCUGAGCACUAGAGAAGAGAAGUCGAGCAUGCA
rnacentral:rRNA from 1 species